UUAAGAAAGGAAACGCAACCU
ensembl:piRNA 21ur-1757 ncRNA